rnacentral:lncRNA from 1 species
GAUCAGGGUCUUGGUCGGAUACACACAAAAUCCAUGCUCAAAUUCAAAUCUGUCAGAUUUUCGUCUUUUAUAUCCAUACUCAAAAUUAUAUUCGUUUAACAUCAGAUAAAUUCACCCAGUUCAAUAUAUAUAUAUAUAUAUAUAUAUAUGAGUUGAGCUAUGAUACUUUUACAAGUAUCACCAUCAUGGUGCUAUUAGGUUUUAAGCCAUUGGAUCUACUUUUUUAUUAUUAAUAGCCCUUGGAUUAAACACUAUUACACCUACCACCACCUACCACCACCUAUCACCAUCAUCUCAACCUCACAUCUCUCCAUCCAAGGGCUAAAAACACACAAGUAUCACCCCCAUGAUACUUUUACAAAUAUUCUANUAUAUAUAUAUAUAUAUAUAUAUAUAUAUAUAUAUAUAUAUAUCCUAGGGUUUAUUUGUUUAGAUGAAAGUGGAGAGGGGUGAAGUUAUUUUCGACACUAAACGGUCACUUUUAUUAUUUAAUUCGUCAUAAAAAAGAUACAGUCGAAACUCGAGUUAUCCAAAACAGCAUAACUGACUUCUGGCCACUUCGAGCCAAAGUCAAUUACGGUAAAGAGAGUUGAAAAAAUAAUAAAAUAAUAUAAUAGAUAAUGCUAGCUAUGUUUAAAUAUAUUUAAUCAUGAUUCUAAUUACUUUUUUAUUUGUUUACAUAUUUAAAAUGUGAUGGAAAUUGAUUACUUAAAUUUUAGCGCUUCUUUUAAUUAGUUUGUACAUUUAAUAUAUGAUGAAAAUUGAUCACUUGAAUAUUAAUAUUUCUUUUACUCUAUAAUUUUAUAGUUGUAUUAUUAUAAGUUUAUAUAAAAAAAUAAUUUAGUUAUUAUAGAUUAUAUUUUUUUAUUAUAUAGAAAUACAAUUAUAUUAUUUUUUAUUUAUUAUAUUAUAAUUUAUUAUUUAUCAAGUUAUUUAUUAGUUAUGUAAUUAUAAUUUUAUAUUAUUCAUUUGCUAUCACACAAACAAAAGAUAUGAAGAAACUACACUUUUAUAGCUAUAUAAACAAACAGGGGGGAGAAAUAAUUUUUACUCGAAUUCUAUUUCAAUCCAAAUUUCACUUCCAUCAAAUAUCCGCUUUCAGUGAAACAAACCGGCCCCUAAUAUAGAAGAAGUUUUGGAAUUGGCAUCCGAAUAAAAAAUGGAAUUAGAUUAUAUUGAAAUAAAAAGCGACAUGAUGAAUCAUCCAAAAAAACAUAGUUCAUUAGUAAAAUGAAAAUGGAAGCGAAUAAUUAAGACAUCUAGGAUUUUGAGAGGGGGUUUGGGUCAUGAGAGAAAAAGGGUGAUAAACAAAAUUAAGGGGGAGGUAUUUGUCGCAAAAGAUUUUUAAGUGGUUUAUUCUGAAAUGAGUUAACUUAGAUUCAAAACAGGAUCAUUCUCAUUUUAGAGUGGAACUAUAAUUAAAAUCUGAUUCAUAUAAAACAAACAAUAAAUAUCAGGAUCAUUAAAUAUUAUUCCAAUUUUAAAGUCUAAAAUAAGUUAACCAAAACAAGCUCUAUUUAUUUUUCUAAUAUAGCAUUCAAUCGAGCAACAUUACAUCUUUCAACAAGCUCAAACACAAUAAAGGUUAUUUGACCUAGUAUCAAUUGGAAAAUAUUAUUUUUAAUUUCAUAUAGGUACCUACAAACAUAGUGAAUUACAAAUAUAUCCCUACAAAGUUCAACUUUUAUAUGUUGUCCCUGGAAAAGUCCUGAUAUUUUCAAGUAUGUCCCUGUCAUUAGAAUCCGUUAGAAAAAAUUAGUUAAUCAUAGAUAAAAUACUUAAUCUUAAUUAGUUAAUGAGCUGAAUUGACCUUUUUAUCCUUUUUUAAUUAAUAGUUGGAAUUUUUAGAGGGAUAUAUUUGUGAUGCGAAAAAGAUCAUUUCACUUAUAAAAUAAAUAAUAUUUUAAUGGUAACAAACGAGAGGGAUAUAUUUGAAAAUAUUAGUACUUUUAUAGAGACAACAUAUGAAAGCUGAAUUUUGUAGGAAUAUAUUUAUAAUUUACUAUGUUUGCAGGGAGUUGCAUAAAAUUAAUCCUAUUUUUAAAGUUCAAAAUAGAAUUUUUUUUAUGUUUUUAAUAGUAAGAAAUAAAAUUAGAAGUUGGCCAAACAACCACCAUUAACAAAUUUACAUGUCAUUUUCUAUUCCAAAAAGUUUUCUUUUCUCUUGAUAAUCAUUAUUACUAGUGUAGAGAUCGGCGCGAUGCAGCGGGUAAAUAAUAGAAGCAAAAUUUUAAAAUUUUAAUAAAAUUUAUAUUUACAGCUUAUUGAUGUAUAGGAAGCUAUAUCAUGUUAAGUACAGUCAAUUUGAAUGACUAAAUUCAACUGUUAAAAAAAUAAAAUUAUAGUUAGAAGUUUAUAUAAUUUUUUAAUAUCAUCAAAAUACAGUAAGAGACAUACAAUUUUAUCGUAUUAUAUGCCUCUUGAACAUUCCGUUGUGAAAAAUAAAAAAGAGCUAGCUCCAAUGCAGCUCAAUCAACCCAACGAGCACUUAUAUGGGCCGCGGCUUGGCUUUGUGGGACGAUACUUUUCGAAGAAGACACGUUCUUUGCAUAUUCUUCUUCUUCAUCAUCGUCCUCAUCAUUUUCAUUAACACAAUGAGAGAGAGAGCUGCAUGAGUGUGGGGAGGGAGAUUAGAUGAUGAUGUUUUUUUUGGCAUGAAAAAUAACAUACCAUGCAAAAGAGAGGGGGCCCGGGGGAUUAAUAGAGGUGGGGAGGAUUGGAGUUACAAAGCCCAUUCAUUGGUGGCAUAUGGUGCAUAUAAUUAAAUGUUGCAUUUUGGAUUAAUUAAUUCUUGUGAUUUCAAAGGAUUGGGAGGUUUGAGGGAGAAGAAAAAAAAAAGUAAGGUAUAAAUUAAAGAGUACAUUGAUUAGAGGUUAUUGAAUAGAGAGGAGGGGAGGGGAAAAGCCAAGGUCAUUGAAUAGUAGAUGAGGUUGAAAGAAAACUUGCCAAGGAGGGGAAGAGAAAAGCCAAAGUCAUUGAAUAGAAGGUGAGGUUGAAAGAAAACUUGCCACGUGGCAAAAACAUUGGGAAUUCAUAUAUGCUAAUAGAUUAUUAUUUCCAUUAUUUAACAACUCUCGUAUUGUCACCAACAUGUUUUAAACCUUGCCAUAUCCGUAACGGACAUAAGCAUAUAAUAUCAUCCUAACUACUGGGUCCACCUGACACCUUGGCGUGCAAAAUCUAGUUAAUUGAAGGGCUUAUCCGCAAAAUAUGAGAGCAUAUUGUCACGGACUUAGCGCUUUUGUUCGCGAAGCCUGUGCGGCGCCCACUUUUUUUCUCAGAGAUGAACAAGCCUUUGUUCCUGUUACUAGCUCGAACCUUUGUGUCCUACGACUAAAUAUACAAAGAGAAGAAACGAGAAAGAGAGGCAGAGGUUCACUUAAAAAAAUUAAGUACUCCACUACUUGGAAAAAGGGAUUACAGCAUACAUACACACUCCCUCUUGUGUUUCCACCUCUCUUCUUUCUCUACUUUGGCCAUAGCCAUCUCUACAAUUUAUAGGCUCCUAAAUACAUUAAUUUAGCCUACACUAAUUCACUCAUUAAGGCACACAUUAACUCACUCACUAUUACAUGAUAAUGAGCUUUCAUGAAUGCCCAGUGAUCCCAAAAGUUACCCAUAC